ensembl:lncRNA
GUAAUGGUCACUGUGUCCCGGACCUGGCGUACAAGUAAAGCUCGGUCUUCCCACUGUUCUGGGACAUACACCCACCUCUGUAUUCUCAGUAAAUCAACAUGGGGAGGCUGCUCGGCUGCCAGCGUCGGUGAUUACACUUCUCACACUUAGAAAACCGUAGCUCUGGAAGAUACCUGUGGUGUCUUGUUCACAGACAUCUGAGCCCAACUGACCACAGCUUGUCAUAGGUUUUCUCAGCAUCCUGGGAAAGAAACCUUUGCAUCCGUUAGGGACCCUAUGCAUGAAGACACUGGAUGCUGAUUAAUACAACAGAGGGCAUUAUAUGAAGAAAGAGAUCUGCUUCAUGAGAGGCACAAGUCCAUGGCUGUUUGAUAUCUUUGCUCAAAACAGGAACUCCAAACAUCUUUCCUUAUUAAGGGAAGAAAUAUUAAUGAUUAACAUUGGGAAUAAAAAUGCCAACUGAAGAAAAGUUUGUGAAUACAGGGGUUUUUUUGCUGAAGAUACUGACAAAGUUGGGAUUAUUUUAUUGGUAAAAUGUGAUAUACAUCUUUUUGGUCUUAGCUCGAACAAAUUCCUUUGAGAAGCCUUUGAUAAUCCCUCAGACUACACUGGGCUUCUCUUGUUCAUGAUCAGAAGGUGCUGUAGUUCUUCUUUGUACCACUGUCAAUGAUAUAAUUAAAUAAUCUUUAUUUUUCCUGGUUUCUUUCCUCACUAAACUACCUGCCCUGUAAGGACAGGGCUACUGCCUAUAUUAUGCAGCACUAUGUUCCCAAUGCUUAGUGCAGAGAAAGGUACACGGGGGUACUUGGAAGUUACUUACUAAAUAGAGG